CAAAGACUUUAAACACUGAAACAAUCAUUUAAUCCGUUUGAAUAAUCAAUUUUUCUGAUUAAAAGUACUCCUUUUUAUUGGAGUUUAGACCUGAUGACCUAAUAUUUUUCAAAUUUGUAUUUGAAUAUCAUUUGUGUUCAUUAUGUAACUGUAGACCAGGUAACUGUCUAAAUGUUACACUUAACGGCUCACCAAUUCCACAAAGUACCUGUGUGAAGGUAUCUCGGCUUGAAUCUCGACCGCAGAUUAACAUGGAAAAACCACAUUAAAGCAACAUGUCAACAACUCAGACUUAAAACACUAUAAAUGUCCUGGUUGAUAAGUCGAAAAUUAGAAACCACUUUGGAAAACAAAAUUCACCUCUACAAAUCCCAACUGAAGCCUGUUUGGACCUACGCUAUACAGCCCUGGAGGACACAAAUAUUGAAAUACUUCAGCGUUACCAAUCAAAAUCUUUGCGACACAUUGUCAAUGAUCCUUUUUACGUAUCUAAUUCAAAUAUCCACAAAGAUCUUAAUAUUCCAACAAUUAAGAAAGAAAUAAAGACAAUAGUAAGUAAGAAAUAC
rnacentral:lncRNA from 1 species